CUGAAAAUUAUUCUAAUUUCAACCCAUAAAUGUAUAUGUAAACAAUAAACCGGUCAAUAUAAACAAAACAACGAUACCAAGAUCGACGCUCGUGACACUUUUACUUCCAAUAUUCUCUAGUGAAAAACAGAUACCCGGAAUAAAUACACGGUGGAAUGAAAUUACGCUAACAUAUGCACCCUCUAUAUAAGUAAAACACUCCCCGCAAAAAUUCCAGUUUGAAAUUGUGCAUGUACGACAUGUAAGCCCGGAUCUGUAUUCUGCGUGUUAUUUUAUAUCAUGUAUCAUAAU
rnacentral:lncRNA from 1 species